CCUCGUGUAACAUUACACGUGGUGUAGACAUUACAGCACCCAAUAAAUGUUAUAAGUUAUUCUUCAUAUCUUUCUGACAAAAGAAGCUUUAAUAUGACCUUCCAUGUGGUGCAGACAAUACAGCACCCAAAAAACAUGCCCCACAUAUUACAUUGGAAGUUAG